GUUUAGCUUUAUGGAUUAUAUAGAUGCCAAAGCGACAAGAAGACUGCCGACAUAUGACGCCUUUUAUUUUGUGUUUCUAGAGUUAUGUGUUUUUGCGGACACAAGGAGAAUAUAGUCUACUCUUGAGACGAAAUUGGAGUUUGCCUCUGGAGCCUCAACAGUGCCUCCACUGGAAUUUCCACAAUUGAGUUCCUCCAUGAAGCCAACAGAAUCUUUCUAGAGGCAAAUACCUGCCUUAUAAUCCUCUGCCUACCCAUACAUAAUGGUUAUGAUACCUUCAAGAAAUAUAUGACUCUGCAGAGGGAAUUCUGCAGGACCCUACUUUUGGUGUUGUGUGAACAGUCUGUAAAAUAAUGAGUUCACCCAAAACAUAGCUGUUUCUGUCUAACAAGUUGUUGCUGCUGUUCUACACUGAUAACUGUCAAAAGUGUUAAGGAAAUAGGACUUGUGAGAUGAGGCACUUUAUUAAGCAAAUAGUGUACCACAAAAAACUGCUGUUUCAUCAAAAUGUGUGUCUAAUAAAUAAACACAAUUCACAGGCAUCAACCUAUGUCAUGGAGUGACAACCCUUAACAGUUAAGUAAAAUGUAUGUUUCUUUCCACGGUUGCCAUUGCUACACAUUAUGUAAACACAGAUCUCAUAUGUGAAAUGUAAUGUAUUCUGACUUCAAAUAUUGAGCACAUUAAACACUGUGGUUUACACUUUCACAGUUUUACAGAGUUUUACAAUGAUUUCAAACAACUUUGCAAUGUUUUCAGAAUUUUCCACUGUUAUGUGAACAUGUAUCUUAUGUGAAAUGUAAUGUAUUCUGACUUCAAAGAUUGAGCACUUUCACAGUUCGCAAUGCAAUGUUCUACAGAGUUGCAAUGUUUUACAGUGUUUUUACAAUGAUUUCAAACAAGAAUUGUACAAUGUUUACAUAAUUUUACUAUGUUUACAAUAGGUACAACUCUUGAGUGGGGACAUUAAAGGUAGAACUGAACAAAUAAACUGAUUGUUUCAACCUUGA